rnacentral:rRNA from 1 species
AUUGAACGCUGGCGGCGUGCCUAACACAUGCAAGUCGAGCGGUAACAGGUGUAGCAAUACAUGCUGACGAGCGGCGGACGGGUGAGUAACGCUUGGGAAUCUGCCUGUUAGUGGGGGACAACCCGGGGAAACUCGGGCUAAUACCGCAUACGCACUACGGUGGAAAGCCGGGGACCGCAAGGCCUGGCGCUAACAGAUGAGCCCAAGUCGGAUUAGCUAGUUGGUAGGGUAACGGCCUACCAAGGCGACGAUCCGUAACUGGUCUGAGAGGACGACCAGUCACACCGGAACUGAGACACGGUCCGGGACUCCUACGGGAGGCAGCAGUGGGGAAUAUUGGACAAUGGGCGAAAGCCUGAUCCAAGCGACGCCGCGUGGGUGAAGAAGGCCUGCGGGUUNUAAAGCCCUUUCGGU